rnacentral:lncRNA from 1 species
UGUGCGCCUGCCCUCUCGGUGUCGGAGAGACGCCCUUCCACCUCUGGGAGCCUCGGUCUGUUGGGGUCGCGGAGUUCGGGCGCGGCUCCGGGUACCCGAGACCAGCGGCGGCAACUUCUAACACGGGAGAUUUCCCGCCACCCCACCCCGCCGCCGCGAGUCCUCGCGGGGCGUGUUGCGUGCGGAGAAUCGACGGGAUUUCUCUGGCUGUCGUUUGCGCUGCAUUUAUCCGAAUACAUCCAGCUCGCAGGCAUCCUGCAAGAAACGGCUCCCGGCUCGCGUGUACGCCGACACCUCGGCCCAACGCAGGACUCGAGGUGGUUUCUAGUGCCCGGGUGGCUGCAAGUCUGCCCUCCGAGGGAGGCUGGACAAGCGGCGCCCCCAGGUCGAGCGGCCUCUCGCUGCCUGGCAGUGCCUGGCAGCCCCCACCUCUGCCAGUGCUUCGGAAACCCGCCUGGCCAGGUUCGCCCGCGGUGAAAAAUGAAAGCAAAUUCCCCAACAGAGGUAGCCGGAACUUUCCUCGACGAAGGCUCCCUCCUGCGCCUGUGUCUGGAGAACCCCCAGAGCGCUGCAAGUUAGCAAGAGAGAUUCGAUGGCGGCUCUGGAAGGCGCACGAAGGGUGGGGCGGGGGAGCAAAGAGGCCACUGGGUGACCCAGCCUGGUCCGGGGUGAAACGCUAGAGAAGGCGCCUCGCCUUCCUUAUUUCAAUGCAACUCCUCGGCCCCAGACGGUAAAAAUAGUUUCCAAGCUGCCGCGGACGCCCAGGAUGUGUUUGCAGAGAUCAAACUGGGGAGGAGGCAGCUUUGUAAAAGUUGCAGAAAGAUUAGCCGAGAAGCGUCCGCCCGGCGGGGCUCAAGAAAGCUUGGGGACAGCUCCAUGUUCCUUGGGGCGGAAUGGCCCAAGAAUUGGCCUGGGUAACCCCCUGCCCAGUUCUCUGUCCUCACUUCGAGCCAGUGCUUAAAUAACUUCCCGCCGCCUGCCCUGCAAACUUCCCGGCGCGGCGCCGUUGAGGCCAGGACACAGCAAAGGCUAGCAAAACCCCGCCGCGGCGCGCUCGGCCCCGGCCCUGAGAGGCUGCGCGGGUGGGAGGACCAGUGUGGUUUCUGCUCCCACUCGGCUGCCCAGACCCUCAAGACCGAUCCCCCAACUCCUGGGAGCGGGUGCUUCCCUCUGGGAGCCGAGAUCUUGCGGGGCCAGCGAGGGCGCAAAGUGCGCGCGCUGGCCCGCGCGGGGGCGGCCGCGCGUCUCUCCGCGGGGCCUGUCGCCAGGCCGGCCGCGGCGCGUGAGUGAUGAGGGCAGAGAAGGGCGCCCAUAAAUCGCGGGUGUCAGGGCGAAAAACUCUCUUUAUUGUCUGCGUGAUGGAUGGGCCCGGGGACGAGACACCAAAUACUUCGUAUCGCCUUUAAAUGGGAACACAUUUUCCGCGG